rnacentral:sRNA from 1 species
UUGCCCGGCUUGUGUAUGCCGAUAACGUC